rnacentral:lncRNA from 1 species
UCAUGAUCAUACAAAUCAAAAAUUCAUCUCUGCACCCCUUGCCGAAGAGAACCCAUGGUCAUGAUCAUAUCACUAAUCUACUCAUCUUUGCACUAAAGUCAAAGAGAACUUUCAUCACCAUGAUUAUAAAAAUGUUAUAUAUGAUGAAUAGAAAUAAUAAGAACAAUAAGAUCAAGGAUAAAUAUUAAAUAUUUGCAAUUUAAUUUAUCUGGAGUCCAAACUGUUAACACGAUAUCUCAUAAAUCGAUUAGAGUUCUUAAUAAAAUAUAUAGUUCAAGAAAUGUACGCUUCUUAUUUCAAAUAUAACGAUUAAAAAUUUAAUAGGAAGAUUCAGUUCAGAGAUAUUAGAUGAAGCACAAACUAUUAAAGAUAUUCUAAUCAUUACAGGAAUUUUCACAUUUAAUUAUAAAGUUGUAAAACGAAUAAUACUCAAUUUCUUAUCAUAAUAUGGAGUAUGAAAGAAAAUGAUCUCCCUUUCGAGUAUUAAAGAAAAUGAUAUCCCUUUACGAGUUUAAAGAAAAUGACAUACUUUACGUGUAAGAAAUAAAAAUGAUACAUUUAUGAGUAUGAAAAGAUUGAUACCCCUUAACUCAAUAUUGUGAAACACAAGAUUAAUAACCAAACAAAUCCUUCCAUGUUCGUCUUUGUAGUAGUAAAGAAUCUAAGUUUGGAGACUUCUAGAGUUUUUAAAAUCUUUUUAUGUUUUCACAAAAAUUUUGCUCUCGAAAAUAUAUACGAAAUAGACUCAAGAAUCAUUCCAUUUGGAGUUAAUAUGACUGAGUUACGAUUUUUCUAAAUUUGGGUUGAAACUAGUGCAAAAAUUAGGAAAAGUUACGGUUUUCAGCAUUUUAAGAUAUGAAAAUGACAUCAUAUGACUUUGCUUCCUUCUUCAAAAUUGUAGAGGACGAAAAUCUAAUGAAAGUAGGCUUUGGAAUCACUCAAUUCCGACAAAUGAUGAAUUUACUAUGAUUUUUAUAAGGAUCUGUUGUAUAUAAGGAAAUUCCACUCGGGAAUUCAAAGAAGAAUACAUCAAAGAUUUAGCUUGGAAUGACUUGGGAUACAAAUUUAGUACUCUAGCUAAUAUUUAUUAAUACUUGAGUUAGUCUAGCAUACUUAGAGAGAAACUUAUAGUAAGAAGUUUUUAAAGAAAGGAAGGAAAUAUAAGUAAGGAAGUUGUGAAUUUCCUUAUACUAACCCUUCCUAUUUAUAGCCAAAAUCUCCCACAUUUUAUAAAUAUAUUAUUCAUCCAUUAUCAUUAUCUUUAAACAUAAUGAUUACCCAUUUUCAUCUAUUAUAUUUACUUUAAACAUAUUGAUUUCCCAUUUUCAUCCAUUAUCUUUACUUUAAACAUAAUGAUUUCCUAUUUUCAUCCAUUAUCUUUAUUUAUUCAAAAAGAAUAAUUCAAUAUCAAUAUUUAUUCAAAAAGAUAAAUCCAUUAUCAAAAAAAUAUUCCAUUAUUCAUACCUUUUCAAUAUAUUAAACAUCCAUUACAUAUUAUUUACUCAUUAUUCAUAUCUUUUCAAUAUAUUAAUCAUCCAUUAUCUUUAACUUUAAUUUCUACCAUCCAAAAAAUAUCUUUAACAUGCUACAUAUUAAUUACCUUGCAUAUUAACUAUUCACAUUCCAAGAUUUCAUUUAAUCUUUACUAUUCACAACUAUAUUAUCUAUCUUCUUCAUUAUUGACUUAAUGCAUUACUAUCACAAAUAUUAGUGUUCUUCAAAUAAUGAGUAUGCCUAACAUUUUAAUAUCCCUGACUUUCAUUUACGCAAUUUUUCAUUACUACCCUUGCUACUAUGACAAUUAUUGGUUCAAUAACAUGAGAUAUUGUGACAAUUAUUUAGACAUUCCAAAUCCAUGUAUUUACUACAAUGGGUUGAUGCUCACAUUCAACAUUAAGUAUAAAUAGUAUGGACUCACAAUAUUGACAACCAAAUCGUAUCCAGGAAAGAAGAGGACUUUCGUAUAAAUGACACACAAUUAAAUAACAUCUUUCCUUGACAAAACUUUCUAGACAUUGUCAAUAAUGUUUACUGGUCUAAUAAUAGCAUAUCAAAUAAUAUGAGUUAAUGUGCCAUGUUAAUUAUUAAUAUAAUAAUAUGAAAUAUUGUGCAUUUGCUACUAUGGCAAUUAUUGAUUUCAAUAAUAUGAAAUACUAUGUUGUUGUUACUUUAAUAAUGAUUGAAUUAAUAAUAUGAAGUACAGUGCAAAACCGUGUGAUACUGUGGAAUUUCGUGUGCCACUGUAAAAUAUUGCGUGUUACUGUACUUUUAUCAUCGGGUAUUUAAACAGUUAAAAGUGAUAGUACCGUUGAAUAUUUUUUUAUUAAAAAGGUUAUUUAUGUCAUUUUCUUUAUCUGACAAUAUUUCGUUGUGGAGCCCACCAAUGAUUGUUUAUUUCUACGCCGUUAUACUUUAUUGAAUAAUUUUCGACAGAAUUAAUAUUAUCCAACAGAAUGAAUAUUCCCCGACAUAUUUUUUAUAAUUGCACAUUUCACCCUUAACUUAUCAUUUUAUCAAUUUAACACCUUACUGUUAAGAAUAAUAAUUAUAAGAAAAUUAAAUUCUCUUUAUUAAAAAUUCAGGGUCUUACAGUUGGUGACCUCAUUGACAUACCCGAUGCUGAGGAAGACGUGGUUGUCAAUGACUAUAUCGUCGUACACAAAGAAGACAAUGAUUAAACUGCUACGGACUUAAAAGAGCCAGAAUCCAAAGACGAAGUUGAUUUUGAUUCCGACGGAUUUGAUGACGUUUUUUUCUUAAAUAAUUUACUAAUAGGAAUAGUUAUUUAAUUUAGAUAAAUUAACUACAAAUUAAUUACUUAAUGUGGGUUAUUUCAUUAGUACACUUAUAUAUGGCUAGACAUACCAGAGGAGGUCGCUUUGGUGGUGACCGUUUAGGAUCUUUGUACGACACCCAGGGUGGGUCGUCGUCAUCAGUUAGUAAGUUUCCAAACUUAAAUAAUUAUCAUCCUGUUUAAUUAAUUAUUUAUAGCAUAUAUGAAAAUAGUAAAUUUACAAAAAUGUCUUCACUUCCACUUAUACAGAUAAUGUUCAUUGACGUAAGCGAGGAACUAACCUCGAUUUAUUUGGUUGGCUGCCAACACAGCCACACGUUGUCCGGGUAGAUGUCAACUUGGCACAGUAAGUGUCAAAUUUAAUAUGUCAAUUGUAAUUAAACAACCUAUUUAUAUGAUUGCAUGAUUAAAAUAACACAUUGUUUUAUUUAUCUCGUAUUGUAGUAUCUGGGACACCGCCGCUAAGGCGACACUCCACGCCAUCUGCCUGCCACACCUUCCUACUGGUUGUAUGUAAUUUAGCCAGUACGCGCAGUAUGAUGCCUCGUUUAUGGACACUAUGUUACGCAAGGUUCACGUAAGUCAAAGUAUAUAAAUUAAAUUUAACAGUAUCAUAGGUAUUUACACUGUUCAAAUGAAUUCUAAUGUCAAUACAUCUUUUUUAUAGAUUUAUUAUACAUAUGAGGAGGGCAUAUCUCUAGCAGUCGACGAUAGUGUUAUUACUGCACAUGUCGUGAAGAACUACGUACGUCGGCUGGCUAUACGAGAUGAGACAGCUGGCAGACCGAGCAGUUGGCGAGAAACCCGAGACUACGAUCAGAGAUCAUCAGCCCCACAUAGUCUCUGAUCUAGCUUAGGAGGCUAUGUGUCGGCACUAGGAUGAUGAGGUGUUCAAUAAGAAGUCGAAGCAGACAAAGAAAAAUUGUAGCCAGCUCUGAGUCGUACACACGACUGUCUCACAGUCCUUUAAGGAGGUGAAGUCGAUAACUAUUUUGUAUUUUGUUGUUUAGUUAGUCAUUUGUCAUUAACAUACUUAAUAAAGGUUUGAAUGUCAUUAUCAUCAGGCCAUGUUCGAGAGUUUUGGGCAACCUCCUACCAUGACCGAGUUUUGGGAUAGAGCUCAUACCCCAAAGAACUCUUAUAUGUCUUCCGCAGCAGUAGCUAUAUUGGUAAGACUAAUCUCAAUUUUUAUCUAUUAUUAAUAUUAGGUAGUUAAUAAAAUGAUAUAAUUAACUCACGUAUACAAAAUAAAUUAUAGGAACGAUUUCAGACCCUCCGGGACACCCGCGUAGUUGUGUUGCAGGCUGCUAGGUGGGUUCUGAGCCAUUAGAUUACACCAUUCCUCUGACCGAGAUUGAGUUAUGGAAAUUUUCUUGAGAUGACUUAAAGACCAUCUUGCCCUUCCCUUGUAAUGGUUAAAGACCAUUUUUCCCUUUUCUAGUGAGGGACUUUUAGGUCAUUUGAUUACAUAAAUAAAGCAAAUAAAAAUAAAGCAAAAUGGACAAAAACAAAGGGGGCUUCACCCGACCACAUCAAGGGAGAAUUCACCACAUAGGAAAAAAAUCAUUUCCAAUCUCUUAGUUGUCAAAGUUGCUCACUAACCCUUUUAUGUGUCACCACUUGAUAUAUUAGCCACUUAUUUUGCUAAGUUUGGUAAAAAUAAAUUUUUUUACUUCAUUUCAUCUUGUUACUUCCAAAAAGCUAAGAACAAAAAUAGAAAGAAAGUGGUGGCAUCCUCUAAGAGGGGAGGAUAGAAGAUUUCUUCCAUACAUCUAGCUUUGUAGUAAAUUGUGAAGGAGAAUAAGAGAAGAACAACCAAGAUCAAGGUAUAAAAACAUAACUAGUUUCUUUCUUUUUUUGUAGUUUGUUUAGAUGGAAUAAAGAUCUAAGGUUUCAAAACUCAAAAUCCUUAUAUCUACAUGUUAAUGAGUGUUUUAUGUUUAGAUCUAACCUUUUUGAGUGUCAAAAAUUGGAUCAAAAGCAAGGAAAUCAAAACUAUGUUCCUAAGGGCUAGAAAACACUAACUUUCUACUACUUUGAAAGGUUAUAAUUUAAGAUCUACACCUCUUAUUUACGAUCCGUCAAAGAGGGGUGCUAUAUGUGUCAGUUAACUAGUAAACCCAAGUGGUAGCACUCAAAUAUGAUGAUUUUUCAAGCCAUGGGGGCUGUUUUAAGCAAAAUAGUCCAUAUUUUUGCAAAAGAGAAAAAGGGACUAUUUUUGGGCAGUUCAUAGCAUGGGUUGUUUCGUCUGUUUAUUGUACUUUAAAAAUUAUGGAAAAAUUUUAGAUGAUAAUAUGAUGAAUUAAAUGAUUUCAAUAAAAAAGAUGGUAAUUUGGGAUAUGUAGGAUGAAAUUAAUGCAUUUUACGAGAAUGGACUACUUAAAAAGUAAAAAUAAAUAACUCUUAGUGUGUAACUCCAAAAAUUGUGAAAUUUUUACAGGAAAUACAUAUACAUAAUAGGAACAUCCCUUGAAAGAUUCGAAAUUUUUGGAAAAAACUCAGUUCAUGAAAAUUGUUGCAAGAUUCGACUGUUUUGGCCAUUUUAAGCAUAAUAAACGAAACUGAAAAAUUCCAGAAACAUUAUAUUUUCAUAAGGGUAAUGUUAACUGAUGUUUUCCUGAAACUUAUAAUUUUUAGAAUUUUUUGUAUUUUUCAUGUGAAUGAUUAAGUUAUGAAUAAAUGGAUAAAUAAGUUAAGUGAUGUUAUAAAGGGAAAAAAUGUAAUGUUUUUGACAAAAGACCCUAAAGAUGAUGAAAUUAGAUUUAUGGAGGCUAUUUUGGCUAUUUUUGAUGAGGUGUUAAAUUUAUGGAAUUUUAGGGUUUUUAAAUAAAGUAAUUAGUAAAAGGUAAACAAUUAAAAUAAAUUGUUUAUAAGCUUAAUAAAUGAUUAAAAUAUUAUCAAAUAAUUAAUAAUAAUAGAUUAACACGUAAUUAUUAAUAAAUGCUAAAUUAAAAUAUUAUUAAAUGAUUAAUAAUAUUAGAUUAAAUUAAAAUUAAAAUAUUAUUAAAUGAUUAAUAAUAUUAUAUUAAAGUUAAAUUAAAAUAUCAUUAAAUGAUUAAUAAUAUUAGAUGAUUAAGAUAUUAUUAAAUGAUUAAUAAUAUUAAAGUGUGAUUAAAAUAUUAUUAAAAGGUUAAUAAUAUUUGUAAAUGGUUAAAAUAUUAUUAAAUAAUUAAUAAUAUUAGUAAGUGAUUAAAAUAUUAUUAAAGGGUUAAUAAUAUUUGUAGAUGAUUAAGAUAUUAUUAUAUGAUUAAAGAAUUAUUAAUUGAUUAAUAAUACUAAGAAGUGAAUAAAAUAUUAUUAAGAUUAAUGAUAUGAAAUGAGUUUAAAAUUAUAGUAAUAUUAUCAAGGUACGAUAAUAUUACUAAGGACUUAAUGUAAGAUCUAAUAUUUAUUAUAUGGCUAAAUGUUAGAUAAUAUGUUAUUAAAAUAAUAAUGUUAUGAGAUAAAGUAUAUUAUGCUAACUGGAAGAUCAAUCUUAACAAUGAUAGGUCUUUUCAAUAAAGAGAUUAUAAUAGAUUGAGUAGCAAUAAUCGAUGGGCAAGGCAAGUUUCCUAACUCAAACUCGAGUUAUUAUUUUUCAAGCAUACUAGUGGAUUAAUUAUUAUCAAUUAUUCCACAUAUUUGAUUGUUGAUUCGCACUUAGUGUAUGUUUCAUAUGUUCAUCAGGUAUGAAAGGCUGAUCAUCUUGAUUACCAUAAGAUUCAGUUAAAUUUGUUCAUGGUCAUUAAUGUUGACCACUCCGCAUUAUUGAUUUAGUCAUUCAAUCAUUGAAAUUGAUUCAUGUUCUUUCACAAUUAUAUUACAUUGUUGAAAACUUGAAAGCUUAUUCCUUUUCAAUCAUGAUAUAUCCUUCUUAUAUGUAAACUUGAUGGGCAAAGUAGUUGCUCACUCUUUCUAUAUCAUGAUAACAUUCAGAUUAAUACGAAGGUUCGAGGAAUGACAAAGACAAGGAUAAAUUCCAAGAAUAACUUAUUAUGCGCUAACUAUUAUGUUACCUUAAAUAAGUUGAUUAUGUAAACCUUAUGAAUCAUUAAAGGUAUGUAUUAAGAUAAAGGUUGUAGACCUUGGGAAAUGUUACAGAACCAUUGUGUAAUAAACAAUUUAUGUUUAUAAUUCCGCAUUAGUUUAUAGAAUAUGUAUGAAGAUAAUGUAUCGUGACGCACUAGGUCCGAGGUUCAAGGGACCCGAAUUUGGGGGCGUUAUAAUAUUUCUUUUCAAACGACCUACAUGUAUCAUUAAGGUCGAACAUAUCAAUUAGUCAAAUAUUGACCCCAAAUAUUGGUUUACUUUAGCUUAUCUUAACUUAUUUCAUAAUUUACAAUGUUCAAGUUUUAUAACUCGACACAAUGUUCUUAACUUUAUACACCUCGGUAUAUUUCUCUUUUAACUUCGUUCAUAGUUUAGAUUUUAAUUCUAAAGUCCCAUGAUGCUCACGUCUCAUAAUUCAGGACAUUUUAAAUCAUUUUUUAAUUAAUCUUUAUUACGCUUGUCUUAUAUAGUUUGUAAAAACGUAGCAUAACGUUGCCCGACUACUCGGCUUUUGAAAAUUAACACAUUUUACUUACUUCCCGCUUAGCCUAAAUCAUAAUUUAGACUUACAUAUUAAAGUCCCUCCACGACUUUCUUAAUUUCAUUUCUUAUCUUAUGGUUCACGUUUUAUGAUUUAAUCAAUGGCCCAACUUUUCUUUUUCAUUUUUUGUUAUAGGUAUAGAAAAAGACAUCUUAACCUGUUUGCUUUAGUUCAAAAACCCUUGUAUGUCAAUCUAGACAGGUUAAACUAGCGACGAAGUGUCUGUUUUAGUUCAAAAAACCCUGUCUUCAAUCCAGACAGGAAACGAAGUGUUUGCUUUUGUUUUAAACUCCCUGGUUGAAAAGAAAACGAAACAGGUGGUUUUUCGUUAUCGUCGCACUUACUUUACAACGACAUAACUCGUCAUCCGCUAUCGAAAUGAGUCCAUUCUUGCAUCUUUUUCUUCCUUAUCACUUCCUCUACAAAUUACCUCAGGUGGAAUAUUUUUUUUCCAGUUUAUUUUCAGGCCAAAAUAGUGGCACAAAAUUUUGGACAGUAGGAUUAUUUAAAAAAAAUUCCAGCUUUACCCUCUCUCGCUAGAACAUACAUAACUAAUUCAUUUCAAAAUAUUUUUGAGCGAUUCUUGCGCCCACGUGUAGCUAACUUCCGGGGAUAAAACUCUUAUACUUUUAACAAUUUUCAAAUUCUGAAAACAUAAUUCUAGAAAAUUCAUACAAAAGAAAGGUUCAAAUCUGAUUUACCAUAUUGGACAUUUUUUAUGCAUUUACUUUGGAACGUCAUAACUCCCUCCUCUGAAGUCGGAAUUAAUCCGUUUCGGAGGCUAUGGAUUCCUUAAUUAGUGUAAUAUACACUCCCAUAGCCCCAGAUAUUUCCAGGAAAUCAAACUAGUCCCGAAAUUGACCUUAAGGUCAAUAGCAAAACUAAUUUUCGGUUUCUAACAUGUUUUACUAAAACAUUCACUAUAAAUUCGUUUUAACUUCUUUUUGAUUCAUUCCAAUUGAGUUAUUUCCAUAACUCAUAUGAGUAUAACAUACUACUCUCAAACUAAAUAUUCAGACAUGAAUCAUAACUAAAAGAAGUCCUCAAAUCAGUCAAUUAGCCAUUAUCCCAUCCAUUACACAUAGGUUUGCGAUUUUUUUUUCAUUUUGAUUUCAUCACUUUGUAUGCUAUUAACAGUUAGUUUAACUUAUUUUUCAUCAUCAUCCAUAGGUUCCUCAUCAACCAUUAAUAAUCACCCAACCCCUUCUAACCAAGCAAAAUAAAAUAGAAAGCUUUAAAGAUGAAUGAAGGUUAGAGUUUUUAAGGUUUAAUUACCUCUUGAGUUCUCUUCUUUCUUCUUACAUAAGAUGACCAAGCUUGGUCAUUGCUCUUCUUUUUCUUCUCUUCCACCUAUGCUCCUCUUUCUCUUUCUAUCUUACUCUCUCUCUUAAUUUAUUUGGUGAAAAUGAAAGAGAAGAUAACUUCCUAAGGACUUACGGGUUAAGGAAGGACAAAGGGUAGACAACAUACUAGAACUUACUAUAAAUUGUAAGUUUCCAACUCCAUUUGUCCGCCCUUGGUCCCCUCCUUAUCCUCCCGAUUCCUCCCCAUUUCCUUACACUUUUUGGCUUCCUUUAUCCCAUGUGUUUAAUCUCC